AUGGCGUCGGGUUCGGGGUGAUCAGUAAGGCUUUGACCUCAGGUGGAGGUUCAGCAUUGCACUCCGCUGUGUUGAAGACUGCGACUGACACUAAUCGGAUUCGCUCAGGUGCAUAGUUUUUGCCAUUGGGAAGCUCUCGGACGUCCCU
rnacentral:snRNA from 12 species